rnacentral:rRNA from 1 species
UACAGAGGUCUCAACCGUUGUUCGGAUUCAUUGGGCGUAAAGGGUGCGUAGGCGGUCGCGCAAGUCGGAUGUGAAAUCUCAGGGCUCAACCCUGAAACUGCAUUCGAUACUGCGUGGCUAGAGUGCUGGAGAGGAGACUGGAAUUUACGGUGUAGCAGUGAAAUGCGUAGAUAUCGUAAGGAAGACCAGUGGCGAAGGCGAGUCUCUGGACAGCAACUGACGCUGAGGCACGAAGGCCAGGGGGGCAAACGGG